GAUGAACGCUGGCGGCGUGCCUAAUACAUGCAAGUCGAGCGAACGGACGAGAAGCUUGCUUCUCUGAUGUUAGCGGCGGACGGGUGAGUAACACGCGGAUAACCUACCUAUAAGACUGGGAUAACUUCGGGAAACCGGAGCUAAUACCGGAUAAUAUUUUGAACCGCAUGGUUCAAAAGUGAAAGACGGUCUUGCUGUCACUUAUAGAUGGAUCCGCGCUGCAUUAGCUAGUUGGUAAGGUAACGGCUUACCAAGGCAACGAUGCAUAGCCGACCUGAGAGGGUGAUCGGCCACACUGGAACUGAGACACGGUCCAGACUCCUACGGGAGGCAGCAGUAGGGAAUCUUCCGCAAUGGGCGAAAGCCUGACGGAGCAACGCCGCGUGAGUGAUGAAGGUCUUCGGAUCGUAAAACUCUGUUAUUAGGGAAGAACAUAUGUGUAAGUAACUGUGCACAUCUUGACGGUACCUAAUCAGAAAGCCACGGCUAACUACGUGCCAGCAGCCGCGGUAAUACGUAGGUGGCAAGCGUUAUCCGGAAUUAUUGGGCGUAAAGCGCGCGUAGGCGGUUUUUUAAGUCUGAUGUGAAAGCCCACGGCUCAACUGUGGAGGGUCAUUGGAAACUGGAAAACUUGAGUGCAGAAGAGGAAAGUGGAAUUCCAUGUGUAGCGGUGAAAUGCGCAGAGAUAUGGAGGAACACCAGUGGCGAAGGCGACUUUCUGGUCUGUAACUGACGCUGAUGUGCGAAAGCGUGGGGAUCAAACAGGAUUAGAUACCCUGGUAGUCCACGCCGUAAACGAUGAGUGCUAAGUGUUAGGGGGUUUCCGCCCCUUAGUGCUGCAGCUAACGCAUUAAGCACUCCGCCUGGGGGGUACGACCGCAAGGUUGAAACUCAAAGGAAUUGACGGGGACCCGCACAAGCGGUGGAGCAUGUGGUUUAAUUCGAAGCAACGCGAAGAACCUUACCAAAUCUUGACAUCCUUUGACAACUCUAGAGAUAGAGCCUUCCCCUUCGGGGGACAAAGUGACAGGUGGUGCAUGGUUGUCGUCAGCUCGUGUCGUGAGAUGUUGGGUUAAGUCCCGCAACGAGCGCAACCCUUAAGCUUAGUUGCCAUCAUUAAGUUGGGCACUCUAAGUUGACUGCCGGUGACAAACCGGAGGAAGGUGGGGAUGACGUCAAAUCAUCAUGCCCCUUAUGAUUUGGGCUACACACGUGCUACAAUGGACAAUACAAAGGGCAGCGAAACCGCGAGGUCAAGCAAAUCCCAUAAAGUUGUUCUCAGUUCGGAUUGUAGUCUGCAACUCGACUACAUGAAGCUGGAAUCGCUGGUAAUCGUAGAUCAGCAUGCUACGGUGAAUACGUUCCCGGGUCU
rnacentral:rRNA from 1 species